UACGGAGGAUCCAAGCGUUAUCCGGAAUUACUGGGCGUAAAGAGUUGCGUAGGUGGCAUAGUAAGUCCCGAUUUAAAGACGACGGCUCAACCGUCGGAUCUAUCGGGAAACUGCUAGGCUAGAGGACGAGAGAGGUAGAUGGAAUUCCUGAUGUAGGGGUAAUAUCCGUAGAUAUCAGGAGGAACACCGAUGGCGUAGGCAGUCUACUGGCUCGUUCCUGACACUAAGGCACGAAAGCAUGGGGAGCAAACAGG
rnacentral:rRNA from 1 species